rnacentral:rRNA from 1 species
GUCUAUGGCCAUACCACCCUGAACGUGCCUGAUCUUAUCUGAUCUCACCAGCUAAGCAGGGUCAGGCCUGGUUAGUACUUCGAUGGGAAACAUAAACACUGGUAACAUAGAAA